UUGCAAGUAAACAAAUGGCGGCGCGGUUAGACGCAGCGGCCCAGUGCUCUCGGUUCGGCAGUGUAUGUAUGUUCUUUGUGUGUGUAUGCGUUGUCACUGGAGUGAUAGAGGGACAUCUGCAAUACAGCAGAGCAGAGCUGCUUAAUGUGGCGGACAAACUUUGCACCCCGCACACGAAUUGGGACUUUAUUCCACCGGAGAUACGGCGUUUUUCCCCGGAAGGAGGAAGCAGCGUUGCCCUGGAGACUCUGCGGAGACGGCAGCGUCACAGGAGACGCAGGCGGGGGAAGAGAGGGAGCUACGGGCUAGGCUAAAGGCUAACCCCUACAAACCGGCGAUUCCAAGCCUCUUCCUUGCCAAUGCCCGGUCACUCAGCAACAAGAUGGACGAGAUAAGACUGCGGAUUACAUCGCGCUGCCUGGAGUACUGUGUGAUG